rnacentral:rRNA from 1 species
UACAGAGGUCCCGAGCGUUGUUCGGAUUCACUGGGCGUAAAGGGUGCGUAGGUGGUGAGGUAAGUCGGGUGUGAAAUCCCACGGCUCAACCGUGGAAGUGCACUCGAAACUGCAGGGCUAGAGUCCUGGAGAGGAAGGUGGAAUGCUUGGUGUAGAGGUGAAAUUCGUAGAUAUCAAGCGGAACACCGGUGGCGAAGGCGGCCUUCUGGACAGUGACUGACGCUGAGACGCGAAAGCGUGGGGAGCAAACAGG